rnacentral:rRNA from 1 species
UACGUAGGGUGCAAGCGUUGUCCGGAAUUAUUGGGCGUAAAGAGCUCGUAGGCGGUCUGUCACGUCGGCUGUGAAAACCCGAGGCUCAACCCCGGGCCUGCAGUCGAUACGGGCAGACUAGAGUGCGGUAGGGGAGACUGGAAUUCCUGGUGUAGCGGUGAAAUGCGCAGAUAUCAGGGGGAACACCGGUGGCGAAGGCGGGUCUCUGGGCCGUAACUGGACGCUGAGGAGCGAAAGCAUGGGGAGCGAACAGG